rnacentral:rRNA from 3 species
GGGUUGUGAGGUUAAGCGACUAAGCGUACACGGUGGAUGCCCUGGCAGUCAGAGGCGAUGAAGGGCGUGCUAAUCUGCGAUAAGCGCCGGUAAGGUGAUAUGAACCGUUAUAACCGGCGAUACCCGAAUGGGGAAACCCAGUGUGACUCGUCACACUAUCAUUAACUGAAUCCAUAGGUUAAUGAGGCGAACCGGGGGAACUGAAACAUCUAAGUACCCCGAGGAAAAGAAAUCAACCGAGAUUCCCCCAGUAGCGGCGAGCGAACGGGGAGGAGCCCAGAGCCUGAAUCAGCAUGUGUGUUAGUGGAAGCGUCUGGAAAGGCGCGCGAUACAGGGUGACAGCCCCGUACACAAAAGCGCAUGUGCUGUGAGCUCGAUGAGUAGGGCGGGACACGUGGUAUCCUGUCUGAAUAUGGGGGGACCAUCCUCCAAGGCUAAAUACUCCUGACUGACCGAUAGUGAACCAGUACCGUGAGGGAAAGGCGAAAAGAACCCCGGCGAGGGGAGUGAAAAAGAACCUGAAACCGUGUACGUACAAGCAGUGGGAGCACCCUUUGGGUGUGACUGCGUACCUUUUGUAUAAUGGGUCAGCGACUUAUAUUCUGUAGCAAGGUUAACCGAAUAGGGGAGC